rfam:Enterobacteriaceae bacterium symbiont of Trionymus perrisii isolate HETPER genome assembly, chromosome: I
ACUUAUUAAGUUUCACGUUCCUUGCUUCCCUGCCCAAAGUUGUCCUCUGGACAGGAGGCUGAAUAAUCCGUAAGGAGCAGUUCUGUG